UGGGGAAUCUUGGACAAUGGGCGAAAGCCUGAUCCAGCCAUGCCGCGUGAAUGAUGAAGGCCUUAGGGUUGUAAAAUUCUUUCGCCAGGGACGAUAAUGACGGUACCUGGUAAAGAAGCCCCGGCUAACUUCGUGCCAGCAGCCGCGGUAAUACGAAGGGGGCUAGCGUUGUUCGGAAUUACUGGGCGUAAAGCGCACGUAGGCGGACGUUUAAGUCAGGGGUGAAAUCCCGAGGCUCAACCUCGGAACUGCCUUUGAUACUGGACGUCUAGAGGAUGGAAGAGGUGAGUGGAAUACCGAGUGUAGAGGUGAAAUUCGUAGAUAUUCGGUGGAACACCAGUGGCGAAGGCGACUCACUGGUCCAUUUCUGACGCUGAGGUGCGAAAGUGUGGGGAGCAAACAGGAUUAGAUACCCCCGUAGUCC
rnacentral:rRNA from 1 species